GAGCCAGAAGCAGAUAAGGCGACUGCCCGCCCCGCGGAGAGCUGCCUUCUGGGACUUGUAGUGCGCGGGGCCCCCGGAGCCGGCUGGCUGCGCAGGCUCGGCCGUUGCGCUGGCCCCACCCCGGCGGGCGGAGUAACGGUUUGGAAUCCCCCGGGGUCAGCGAGCGCUUGUUUCCUCCGCCUGGUGUAGCAAAAGUGUAAACACGCGCGCUCCGGAAGGCGCCCUCCAGUGGGAGGUUGCUCAGGGGAUGGCGGAGCUGUGAAACUCGGAGCUAGAAGGAAAGUCUCAACGCUUGUCUAAAUUUUGCUUUGUCGUGACGAGCUACCUAGACCCACGCAGAGCUAACUUGGUAUAUGCCCCGGUUCCCAUCUCUUAAGUCUCUUUACAGUUGAAACACGUUUAUAAUGCUUGACUGCCACUCACUUUCUAGGGAGAGCGCUUGUGACGCUACGAACCUCUCGAACACCUGACGACUGGGCGCCAGGGCCGGAUGGAGGGUGGAGAGCCAGUGCGGCGCAGCUGCCUCCUCUUAACGGGGACACCUUGCAGGAAUGUGCGGAGUGGAGCUAACGGGAGCGGAUAGAAACCGAGGGAGGGGAAGAGAGCGCGAAGGCUUGGCCGGAAGGAGAGGUUAAAAAGGAAAGGCCUAAAAUGAGGAAGAGAGUUACCACAACAAGCAGUACCUAGUUCCAGUUCUUGGUCCCAGGAGUUUGUGGUUGUUGCUGCUUUCAUCUUCCUCAGCCAACACAAAAGGAAAGUGCCAAGGGGCGAUUCCUAGGACCUUCAGUGCAGUCUCCACCUUGCGGACUUGGCUCAUUUGUGUCCACUCCUUUCUCCAGCCUUUUACACUUGAUGCUCUUGGAUGAAUAGAAAGGAGCACAAUUAAUGGAAAACACAAGCUUGGGAGUCAAGGGAUUUGGGUUCUAUUCUUGUCCUCCCUUGGUGACGACAUCAUUACCUUGGGUUAUUCAAGCUUUCAGUGCCAGAGUUCCUAUAUCAAUAAAAGAUUAUUACAUUGACCUCUUAGAGAAAUGUUUUCAUGGUACUGAAUUGCAAAUAAAGUAUGUGUAGCGAUGUGUUAUAUCUUUGUAGUUGUACGGUAUUAUUUGUGAAUCAUGCUGUGAUGAUCAGUGCGAUUUAAGUGCACCAUGUUAUUUGGUGAUUAUUUUCCUGAGAUCUUGUAAAAGAUUUUUCUGCUCUAUAUAUGCAGCUUUAUAAACAAGUUUUUAGGUACAUUCACAACUAAGGACAUUUGUGAAUCAAAAUUACCCCUGCUUUUUUUAAAUGUAAAGUUCUGUAUUGCUAGGUGGUUUUCAAGAUGCUUUCAGUUUCUGGGAUUAUUGUUUUGGGCAUUGGGGCUUGCCUAACCUUUUUCCCAUACCUCCCUAUUUUUCUAAAUACAGUGUUGAUAUAGUCAGGCAUUUUUCACCAAUUUGGGUUUUUUUUU
rnacentral:lncRNA from 1 species